GAACGCUGGCGGCGUGCUUAAUACAUGCAAGUCGUGCGAGAAAGCGGGGGCAACUCCGCAAGUAAAGCGGCAAACGGGUGAGUAACACGUAAGCAAUUUACCUCUAAAUUCGGGAUAACAUCGCCAACGCGGUGCUAAUACCGGAUGUGGUCCAGUGGGCAUAAGCUCGUUGGAUUAAAGGCGACCUCUCCAUGGAAGUUGCUGUUUAGAGAUGAGCUUGCGGACCAUUAGCUAGUUGGCGGGGUAACGGCCCACCAAGGCGAUGAUGGUUAGCCGGCCUGAGAGGGUGAACGGCCACAUUGGGACUGAGACACGGCCCAGACUCCUACGGGAGGCAGCAGUAGGGAAUUUUGCGCAAUGGGCGAAAGCCUGACGCAGCAACGCCGCGUGAGGGAUGAAGGUCUUCGGAUUGUAAACCUCUGUUGAGUGGGAAGAAACUUUUCCGGUCUAAUAUAUCGGAAGACUGACGGUACCAUUUGAGGAAGCCCCGGCUAACUACGUGCCAGCAGCCGCGGUAAUACGUAGGGGGCAAGCGUUGUUCGGAAUUACUGGGCGUAAAGGGAGCGUAGGCGGGAGAGUAAGUUGGAAGUUUAAUUCUUCGGCUUAACCGGGGACCAGCUUUCAAUACUGCUUUUCUUGAGUGUGGAAGAGGGAGACGGAAUUCCAGGUUUAGCGGUGGAAUGCGUAGAUAUCUGGAAGAACACCAGUAGCGAAGGCGGUCUCCUGGUCCAUUACUGACGCUGAGGCUCGAGAGCUAGGGGAGCAAACAGGAUUAGAUACCCUGGUAGUCCUAGCCGUAAACGAUGGACACUAGUUGCUGGAGGAGUCAAUCCCCUCAGUGACGAAGCUAACGCAUUAAGUGUCCCGCCUGGGGAGUAUGCUCGCAAGGGUGAAACUCAAAGGAAUUGACGGGGGCCCGCACAAGCGGUGGAGCAUGUGCUUUAAUUCGAUGCAACGCGAAGAACCUUACCUGGGCUUGACAUGGGAAUGAAAACUUCCAGAGAUGGAGGUCCUUCCGCAAGGAACAUUCUACACAGGUGCUGCAUGGUUGUCGUCAGCUCGUGUCGUGAGAUGUUGGGUUAAGUCCCGCAACGAGCGCAACCCUCGUCCUUAGUUGCCAUCAGGUAAUGCUGGGAACUCUAGGGAGACUGCCUGGUAUAACCAGGAGGAAGGUGGGGAUGACGUCAAAUCCUCAUGGCUCUUACGUCCAGGGCUAGACACGUGCUACAAUGGUCGGUACAAUGGGCUGCAAGACUGCGAGGUCAAGCAAAUCCCUUAAAACCGAUCUCAGUUCAGAUUGGAGUCUGCAAUUCGACUUCAUGAAGCUGGAAUCGCUAGUAAUCGCGGAUCAGCAUGCCGCGGUGAAUACGUUCCCGGGCCUUGUACACACCGCCCGUCAAGCCAUGAAAGAUGGGAGUACCCGAAGUCGUUUGCCCAACCGCAAGGAGGGCGACGCCUAAGGUAAGACCAUUAAUUAGGGCUAAGUCGUAACAAGGUA
rnacentral:rRNA from 1 species